CGCCCCUCUCUUGUUCUCCGUUUCCCCGCGGCGUACUCUUCCUGCUCUUCCUCCCCCUCUGUUUAUCUCUCUCUCGGUCCUCCCGUGUCCAUCGCGUGCGCUCUGUCUCCGGUGGCGCCGCCUCCGCCACCCUGCACCAGGUAGCCAUACCUUCGCCGGAGACGAGCGCCCACCAGAUCAGAUUCGUGGAUAUGUCUGAUAAUGAGAAAUUGGUGGGGGAGGGAACCACCCGCCGAGGGGCGGACUGGGAAGUUGUCACUCUCACAGCAUCUGCCUAUGAAGCAGCGCCAGGGCCUGUUGGAACGGAAGUAAAGCCUGUUAACGAAGAUCAAGAGCGUAGUUCAUCCGAUGCACUGCUCAUGUCUGACCACUUUGUGUUUCCGCCGAGUGAACACGAGAACCUGCCAAUACAAACCAGUUUUGAUGAGAUACAUGCUGAGAAGGAUGUGCAGAAACCUAGUACCAGUGUGGAGGAUUAUAGUAUCAAGAAUGAUGUUGGGUCUGAGAGAGUUCAGUUUGACGAUGAAGGGAAACACCUCUCAGAUGAUGAUGUGGAGAUGAAAGAUGACACCCCUGGGUACGGUUCCUCUCACGCUGAAGAUGAUGCACAUGGUUUUGUUGCCCAUGGUGAUGGCAUUGAGUCUGGUGAAGAUUUUGAUGAAAAAUCAGGCCACCCUUUAGAGCUCUCAGACAGCAAGAGCUGUGAUACUGGUGCCUCUUGCAAAUGUUGGUUGAAGAAGCAUAUGACAUGCCUGUAUAACCAAACAAAGGAAACAAAUGCUAUCUGGUCUGUGGUGGUUGCAGCUGCACUAGUUGGUAUUGUGAUCUUGGGACGUUGGCACAAAGAUAAAUUCCACCUUAACCAGCUUAAGUGGUGCUCUGGCUCAGCAGUGAGAUCAGAUUCGUGGAUAUGUCUGAUAAUGAGAAAUUGGUGGGGGAGGGAACCACCCGCCGAGGGGCGGACUGGGAAGUUGUCACUCUCACAGCAUCUGCCUAUGAAGCAGCGCCAGGGCCUGUUGGAACGGAAGUAAAGCCUGUUAACGAAGAUCAAGAGCGUAGUUCAUCCGAUGCACUGCUCAUGUCUGACCACUUUGUGUUUCCGCCGAGUGAACACGAGAACCUGCCAAUACAAACCAGUUUUGAUGAGAUACAUGCUGAGAAGGAUGUGCAGAAACCUAGUACCAGUGUGGAGGAUUAUAGUAUCAAGAAUGAUGUUGGGUCUGAGAGAGUUCAGUUUGACGAUGAAGGGAAACACCUCUCAGAUGAUGAUGUGGAGAUGAAAGAUGACACCCCUGGGUACGGUUCCUCUCACGCUGAAGAUGAUGCACAUGGUUUUGUUGCCCAUGGUGAUGGCAUUGAGUCUGGUGAAGAUUUUGAUGAAAAAUCAGGCCACCCUUUAGAGCUCUCAGACAGCAAGAGCUGUGAUACUGGUGCCUCUUGCAAAUGUUGGUUGAAGAAGCAUAUGACAUGCCUGUAUAACCAAACAAAGGAAACAAAUGCUAUCUGGUCUGUGGUGGUUGCAGCUGCACUAGUUGGUAUUGUGAUCUUGGGACGUUGGCACAAAGAUAAAUUCCACCUUAACCAGCUUAAGUGGUGCUCUGGCUCAGCAGUGAGGUGCGCCCGUACAGCUGGGAAAGGAUAAUAGGGGGCGAUUGCAGGCCCAAGCCAUCAGCGUGUGCAACUUAACAGAUUUUAGGAAUGUCAUCCAAGGAAAUGCAAACUUAGAAUAGUGGCCGUUCAGGGAAGUUGGAAAUUUUGAAGGCAUUCAGGGGAUCAAUAUAAAUUUCAGUGGCAAUGAGGAAUUUAUUCAUAUUCUAGCGUGAGGAUUAGCCUUUCACUUUUCACCAGAACCAAGAGGAUGAUCAACAAUUGGCUUGUUGAAAACUCAGAUGAGUCAAUUCAACUGUCACCAAAAUGGUUUUGGAAUAUUGUUGUGACGGUGACGAAAAGGAGUAUGUUCAAUGUAAUAAUAUGUUCAACUGGAAUUUCACUUGCCACCUACAAUGAGUGCCUCGUGGGCUUCUAAGUCAAACUCACUCCUGCCAUACACAUUAUCUUACAGUUUUUCUUGCAACCUGGCACAUGAUUUUUGGUUCCUGGCUUCCUGCUACUUGCUGUGGUGUAUCAUAUAUGUUGACUGAUGGCUGUAGAACAUAGUACAAUUGCAUACUGCAAAGUCUGUUGAAAUUUUGGUGGUUCUGCGAGAACAAUUCACGUGCGAUUGUGAAAAUGGAGGACAAGGAAAGUUUGUUUGGCUCUUAUUUGUUGUUA